rnacentral:rRNA from 1 species
GACGACGCUGGCGGCGUGCCUAACACAUGCAAGUCGAGCGAAGUUAUUUAGCAGCGACUUCGGUCAAAGCUGAUUAAACUUAGCGGCGAACGGGUGAGUAACACGUAGGCAACCUGCCCAUGACACGGGGAUAGCUUCGGGAAACCGGAGGUAAUACCCGAUACCUUUACUUAUUGCAUGAUAAGUAAAGAAAGCGAAUAGCGGUCAUGGAUGGGCCUGCGUCCCAUUAGCUAGUUGGUGAGAUAACAGCCCACCAAGGCGACGAUGGGUAGCCGACCUGAGAGGGUGACCGGCCACACUGGAACUGAGACACGGUCCAGACUCCUACGGGAGGCAGCAGUGGGGAAUCUUGCGCAAUGGGCGAAAGCCUGACGCAGCGACGCCGCGUGAGCGAAGAAGGCCUUCGGGUCGUAAAGCUCAGUCAUUGGGGAUGAGAUGACAGUACCCAAGGAGGAAGCCCCGGCUAACUACGUG